UACGUAGGGUGCAAGCGUUGUCCGGAAUUAUUGGGCGUAAAGAGCUCGUAGGCGGUUCGUCACGUCGGCUGUGAAAAUCCCGAGGCUCAACCUCGGGUCUGCAGUCGAUACGGGCGGACUGGAGUACUGGCAGGGGAGACUGGAAUUCCUGGUGUAGCGGUGAAAUGCGCAGAUAUCAGGAGGAACACCGGUGGCGAAGGCGGGUCUCUGGGCAGUAACUGACGCUGAGGAGCGAAAGCGUGGGGAGCGAACAGG
rnacentral:rRNA from 1 species